CCGUGACUGAGCCAAUCGCCGUGCAGCCCUGAGAUUACAUGACCGCUGCAGCUGAUCCCUGUUGAUUAUACACCGCUGACCCCCAUUCUGAUUUCCAUGAACCUAAAUUGGUUCGGGAGAAAUGCUGUACAACCCCAUUUCUUUUCUGUGUAAUAAACGCGGAGGAGACCCCUGGAAACGCGCAGGAAACCCCAGGCAAUGCGCAGGAAACGCCUGGCACCACGCAGGAAACCCCUGGCACCGCGCAGGAAACCCCUGGCACCGCGCAGGAAACCCAUAGCAACGUGCUGGAGACCCCUGGCAAUGCGCAUGAAACCCCUGGCAACGCGCAGUACCCUUCAAGCAUGGAAGAGUGAAUAGAUAUUGGGAAUGAAUUUGAGAGCCGUUGGCAGUUCCCUAACUGCAGAGGAACUAUUUAUGGCAAGCAUAUUUGCAUUACCCCACCUCCCACCAGUGGGUGGUUCUACUAUAAUUACAAAGGGUACUUCAGUGUGGCUCUAAUGGGGGUGAUGAACGCCAACUACGAGUUUCUGUUCAUAGAUGUGGGGAAGAACGGUCGUGCCUGCAUUUACCAUCUAGCAUGCUUUGUCCUGUACAAUUCCCUGUCCAAAAAGGUCAGAGAGGAAUAUAUAGCCUACUUCAAUGGAGACGGUGUGGUGCCAUGGCAGGAGGAGUACAGUACAUAUGAUAAAGUGAAGGGGAACUGGAGGGCACUGUAGAGCAAUUGUCAUUUCUGCCUUUUGAGAUUGCUGGGACUCUAAUUACUGAUGAGGCUUCAGGUGACUCACCCAGAUCCUCUUUCUCGG